CUACAGGUCCUCGCUUACUGGUUUUUAAAUGUCAUGACCUAUUAGAAAUAAGGCAGCCUGCAACUCAGUUACAGGAACGACUGUGACGUGACCGACCGAGACCCUGUACAGGUGACAGAGCGGCGUUACGUCCCGAGACGCGGGGGGAGGCAGGCACAGGAGGCACCGGGCAGGUUAGCAGCCAGGAUCGGAUCUGCACUGUUCUCCCGAACUUCAGGAGCAGCCCGGGUGUAGGGUGCGCGAUGUGAGUGACCCAAGCCCCAGCGUUACGUCAGCAUCACUGGGGUCACGUCACUGUCUACACGGGAUGACCUCUCGGACAGAGGGGAGGCGGAGUUUUGGCAUUGGGACAGGACCACAGAACAGCUCAGUCCCCAGCUGUCUCUGCAGAGCAGGGUCAUGUGCAUCCUGUUCUGCGACUCAUUUUGGCUCACUCAUACACUCCUGCACGCACUCGCAUGCACAUGCUCACAUGCACCCACUCACCACUCAUGCAUAUGCUCAUGUGUAUGCACAUUCCUGUGCGCACACUCACACACGCAAUGUUCUUGCACAUGUGCACUCACCUGAACACACAUGCACAUGCUCACACCCACUCACCACUCAUGCAUAUGCUCACGUGCAUGCACAUUCCUGUGCACACACACACACAACGUUCUCGCAGAUGUGCACUCACCUGUUCACACAUGCACAUGCUCACAUGCACCCACUCACCACUCAUGCAUAUGCUCACAUGCAUGCAUAUACCUGUGCACACACUCACACACGCAACAUUCUUGCACAUGUGCACUCACCUGUACACAUGCACAUGCUCACAUGCACCACUCACCAAUCAUACAUAUGCUCACGUGCAUGCACAUACCUGUGCACACACACAAUGCUCUCACACAUGGGUACACACUCACCCACAUCCACGUGUACAUGCUUGCAUGCACAUGCUUACAUGCAUGCACACAAUGCAUGCAGUCACAUGCUUGCACACACAUGCUUACCUGCAUGUGCUCACACGCAUAUCCUCACACACCCAAAUGCACACAUGUGCAUGCACACUCGUGCACAUGCUCAUAUGUAUGCACUUGUGCACAUGUUCACACAUGCACACACAGAUGCACACAUGCACAAGCUCUCACAUGUGCAUGUGCACACACAUUCAUGAACACAAACUCGCACUCAGGAGCUCACACUCACAUACACAUGCUUUCACACACGCAGGUGCCGAUGUUCAACGCUGGUGAUUCAAACCAGAAGAGACCUCCACGCCUGUUUGGAGGAGACACCUGGUAUUUCCUUCAUGGGAAGCAAGCGCCAAAUGGAAAAGAGUUUUGCCCUCAGCUUUGACAGACGUGCAUCCUGCCCCGUGGCUCGUCCAGCCCCAGCCCCAAGACAUUCUGGGAGCCCCGAGAACUGCACGGGGCCCGUUGGUGCAGAAACAGCACUCCUCAUCUCCCCACGCCGUCCCUCCUGCAUGUGGACAGGCUCCCGUCACCCUGGCUCCAGUUCCCAUCAGGCCUGGCAAGUCACCUGGACGCUAAUGAAGCUCCACACACAUCCACACAGUUUGAUUUGAUUUCAAUUAGUUCAGUAUUUAUCAUCCACCAAGAAAAAGCUGAUCAAACUGUCUGAGCUCUGCAGGCGUGAGUCUGAGCUGUGUCUCACUUGCCGGUAGAGGCCCGGCCGCAGAAAGCAAAUAACUCAGUGCGUCUUGCCGGGCAGCCACCGUUGUCCACACACCCUGGGGUCUGCCCAGGUGUCCACCUGCACAGCGAGGACCCGGAGGGAGCCGGGAGCUGAG